UGCCUGGCAGGGCUUGCCCUAUUUGGCGAUAUCUUUCCCCGGCAAGAAUUGCUUGACACGAGUCAAACCUCUUCUAGAGGGCGUCCUUAAGUGCAAGUUCCACGAUAGAUUCAUCGGCAGCUACGCUGGCAUCGACGAGACGCUAGCUCAAGUCAACAUUCACCGAAUGCAACCUGCAAGUGAUGCCGCAAAUAUGGAGAUUUAAUACUGAUUUUUAAUACGAUGACUAGCAACAGACCCCGUGGGCGCCAAGCUAAAACUUCAUACGGACUGACGACGUCUCAAGGGCAAGACAAUGGCAACGUGCAAUGUGGCCAUGUGAUGGUGAUAACUACCACAAGAAGAGCUCGGUUGGCGACGAGCAUAUCAACUUGAGAAGUUCGUGAUAAAUAUUGAGAUUUUUCACAUGGGGGUUAUAUCGGCAUCUUCUUCCACUCAAACUUGAAAUCUUGUUUUCAGUUUCCUAUUACAUGUCAAUUUAUUCGACCAGUUAGCAUAAACACCUGAAAGUGACACUUGUAGGCAUAUCGCAUACCGAUGGUAAAGACCUACGGAAAAGAUUUGUCCCUCCAAACCAAUCUUUUAGACGAUUGGCUACAUGUCACUGCGAUGGCGUAGCGCUAGCGGAGAAAGUUUUCAUUGUUUUUUUAUGUGCUUUACCUACGUUGCGUUAUCAAAUAGAGCGAAGUUCUGUAAGAACAAAAUAAAGGCAAUUGCCAUUGGGGUGCAAGUGUUUUUUUUUCGUAUCAACGAAAUAAAAUUGUCGCAGUUACAUGCUGCGAUUCUACCCAA